rnacentral:rRNA from 1 species
CUACACGGGUUUCUAAUCCUGUUUGCUCCCCACGCUUUCGCACCUCAGCGUCAGUUGUGAGCCAGUGAGCCGCCUUCGCCACUGGUGUUCCUGCGAAUAUCUACGAAUUUCACCUCUACACUCGCAAUUCCACUCACCUCUCUCACACUCUAGAUCAACAGUAUCAGAGGCCGUUCCGGGGUUGAGCCCCGGGAUUUCACCCCUGACUUGACGAUCCGCCUACGUGCGCUUUACGCCCAGUAAUUCCGAACAACGCUAGCCCCCUUCGUAUUACCGCGGCUGCUGGCAC